ensembl:snoRNA
GCACUGGGCCAGAGCAAUACUCUGAUGUAUGCAUGGGGGCUGUUCCUUUGCAGCAGCCUCCAUAGCCCGGUCACUGGUACAUGG